ACAGGUAUUAUAUGAUUUAUCGAGUAAGACUGUAUUAGAGGCAGAGACUGUUUCAUAUAUUACAAAGGAUUUAUUGGAGCAGUUCUGUACUAGUAAUAAAAGUGGUAAAAAGUCAGCUGCUAUGAAAUAUCCUUUUUUAACUGAAGUAGUACAAGCAUUGACUAACAAGUAUCCUAGUGUAAUGGAUGCUGUUUUUGCUGAGGAGAAGAAAGGAGACAGGAAGAAAAUGAUAGAAAACAUUGUCAGUUUAUUUUUGCCUGGAACUUACCAUGAAGUACUCUGGAAGGUUCUAAACGGGUUCUUCCGCUUGAGAUGAAAGGAGCCGCCAUGACGAAUUGUGUGCGUCACUCCGAUGAAUAUCAUUUGCAUCUCAUUAC